rnacentral:miRNA from 1 species
ACACCAUCCCUCUCACAAUGUGAGGGGGUCCACGUGAAUUUUAUAUUUGUGGACCCCCUCAUUGUGAGAGGGGUGUA